rnacentral:tRNA from 1 species
AGGAUUAUAGUUUAUAAAAACAUUUAAUUUGCAAUUAAAAAAUAUUGGUUCAACUCAUCAAUUUAUCUUA